CUCAGGAUGAACGCUGGCGGCGUGCUUAACACAUUCUAGUCGAACGGGCGACGGGGAGCUUGCUCCCCCGAGCUAGUGGCGGACGGGUGAGUAACGCGUGAGUAACCUGCCUUUCUCUGGGGAAUAACAUCGCGAAAGUGGUGCUAAUACCGCAUAACGUAUUCGGAUCGCAUGUUCUGAGUACCAAAGGAUUUAUUUGGAGAAAGAUGGGCUCGCGUCUGAUUAGGUAGUUGGUGGGGUAAAGGCCUACCAAGCCGACGAUCAGUAGCCGGACUGAGAGGAAGGUCCCCCACACUGGAACUGAGACACGGUCCAGACUCCUACGGGAGGCAGCAGUGAGGAAUAUUGGACAAUGGAUGGAAAUCUGAUCCAGCCAUGCCGCGUGCAGGAAUACGGUCCUAUGGAUUUUAAACUGCUUUCGUAUGGGAGCAAUAAGUGCUACGCGUAGCGCGAUGAGAGUACCAUACGAAUAAGCAUCGGCUAACUCCGUGCCAGCAGCCGCGGUAAUACGGAGGAUGCAAGCGUUAUCCGGAUUUAUUGGGUUUAAAGGGUGCGUAGGCGGUUACUGUAAGUCAGUGGUGAAAUUUUAGUGCUUAACAUUAAAAGUGCCAUAGAUACUGCAGAGCUAGAAUGAGGAUGCUGUAUGCGGAAUGUGUAGUGUAGCGGUGAAAUGCAUAGAUAUUACACAGAACACCGAUUGCGAAGGCAGCAUACAAAACCUUGAUUGACGCUGAUGCACGAAAGUGUGGGGAUCAAACAGGAUUAGAUACCCUGGUAGUCCACACAGUAAACGAUGAUAACUAGCUGUUGGCGAUACACAGUCAGUGGCUAAGCGAAAGCGAUAAGUUAUCCACCUGGGGAGUACGACCGCAAGGUUGAAACUCAAAGGAAUUGACGGGGGCCCGCACAAGCGGAGGAACAUGUGGUUUAAUUCGAAGCGACGCGAAGAACCUUACCUGGUCUUGACAUCCGGAUGACCGGUCAGUAAUGUGACCUUCUCUUCGGAGCAUCCGAGACAGGUGGUGCAUGGUUGUCGUCAGCUCGUGUCGUGAGAUGUUGGGUUAAGUCCCGCAACGAGCGCAACCCCUAUCUUUAGUAGCCAGCAUUUAGGAUGGGCACUCUGGAGAGACUGCCAGGGAUAACCUGGAGGAAGGUGGGGAUGACGUCAAAUCAUCAUGCCCCUUAUGAUUUGGGCUACACACGUGCUACAAUGGCGUAAACAAAGGGAAGCGAGACCGCGAGGUGGAGCAAAUCCCAAAAAUAACGUCUCAGUUCGGAUUGUAGUCUGCAACUCGACUACAUGAAGCUGGAAUCACUAGUAAUCGCGAAUCAGAAUGUCGCGGUGAAUAC
rnacentral:rRNA from 1 species